CCAGUAAGUGAAUUAGAACUACACUAACACGAUUUAAUUCUGAGGGUGCCAUAGAGAAUGGACACCAAGGUCCCAUGCAGUUUUGGCUUCACUUUAGAAUCACCUGAGGAAUUUUGAAGACUUCUCCAGCACUCUAAUUAAAUGAGGUAUCAUUGCUAUGGAUGAUGGUGGAGUGAAGCUGGCACUAAGGAGUCUGCUCUGCAUAACAGCAAACAGCACCUAGCAGAAUUCCUAGCCUGAGAUGGUGGCCGAUGUUUGCCUGGAACUGGCAAGGAGAAGUUCCUGUUAUCAACUCUAGGCUGCAUUCUGCUGCUCGAGCCUUCAAAAGGACGGCAUUUUUUCCCUGAAACUUUUGGAGAAUGUGUAGCCUAAUUUCAAGAAAGGUUUGAUUGUUUGUGUUGAUUUGUAAUUGCCAAGGCUGUUUUCUAUGUGCCAGAACAGCUGUUUAUAAACUGACAAUUUCUGUGAGCUGCAUGUUCUCCUAAUUAUUCAUGAGUCAUUAUUUUGUUCAUUCGGCAAUAUUUAUUCAGCCCCGCCCUGUCCAGGCCUUAAAUAAGACACCUGUGCACACUUCCUUUAAUCCUCACAGCAA